rnacentral:lncRNA from 1 species
AAUUUGAUGCCAAAAACACUAAUUCUGAGGCUGUUUUUUUGCAAAAAACACUAGGCACCCAAUUCGGUCCUUUUAACAUCGAUUAUGACAUGUGGGACCAUUAGACAGGGUGAUGUGACACGAAAUCAUGGGUUGCAAUUAGGUAAAACAACUAGGACUAAAUUGUAAAGAAGUAAAAAUGAUAAGGGCAUCUUAAAAAAGGGUCACACGUCACCCCGACCAGCAGCACAACCACCGCCGUGGGCUUCCUCCGGCAAACCAUCGGCGGCGCAACCAUCGACGCAGCCUCCCUUCGGCAAACCAUCGGCGGCAUAAACACCGCCGCGGCCUUCCUCUAGCGGCGCAACCACUGAGAUGUGCCGCCCCUCCCCCGUCGUAUUCUCACCAUGGCCGCCGCCUCCAACACCCAUUGGCGUCGCCGCCGAUAGACCUCCUCUCCUCCCCUGACCUUCUCUCUGGUUGUGCCGCCGGAGGACGCAGCAACACGAUCCGUCCUCCAAAUCCUCACCGACUCACCGGCCUUCGUUGCCUCAGUCCGUUCGUGCUCCGCUGUCCGCCACCGCCAGAGACUUUCAGAUCUGCACGGGUGUCAUCGUUCUCGGGCCUCCCCUGCAUCCGCCUCGUCCGCCCGAGGGACGCCACUUUAGCCCAUGCACGUGCCCCGAGCUCCGCCACGGCCAUGCCACCGGUGUGCAAGGUUCACUGCGGUUUUGUCUGACGGCGCCUCCCCUCCCCCUGAUGCUCCAUCUCCACCUCGUCGGCUCCUAGGGGUCUUGCCAGUCCUGAACCAUGCCGCAUCUCCCUUGUGCCCUGCUUCCGGAGCAAAGCCUACCCAGGCCCGGCCGCCCCGGGCCCCAAAAUCGAGGCCCCCCAACUGGUCGUGUGCUGCUAGGUCAAUAUGUCCACAAAGGCCGAAGUCGUAGUAGUAAUAGCCCAUUGGGUAGAUGGACAUUUGGCUGACUUCUGAAGGACUUGUAAGUUAUCAUUG